UACGAAGGGGGCUAGCGUUGCUCGGAAUCACUGGGCGUAAAGGGUGCGUAGGCGGGUCUUUAAGUCAGGGGUGAAAUCCUGGAGCUCAACUCCAGAACUGCCUUUGAUACUGAAGAUCUUGAGUCCGGGAGAGGUGAGUGGAACUGCGAGUGUAGAGGUGAAAUUCGUAGAUAUUCGCAAGAACACCAGUGGCGAAGGCGGGUCACUGGCCCGGUACUGACGCUGAGGUGCGAAAGCGUGGGGAGCAAACAGG
rnacentral:rRNA from 1 species